rnacentral:rRNA from 1 species
CCUACGGGAGGCAGCAGUGGGGAAUAUUGGACAAUGGGGGGAACCCUGAUCCAGCCAUGCCGCGUGUGUGAAGAAGGCCCUCGGGUUGUAAAGCACUUUCAGUGAGGAAGAACGCCUGGUGGUUAAUACCCAUCAGGAAAGACAUCACUCACAGAAGAAGCACCGGCUAACUCCGUGCCAGCAGCCGCGGUAAUACGGAGGGUGCGAGCGUUAAUCGGAAUUACUGGGCGUAAAGCGCGCGUAGGUGGCUUGAUAAGCCGGUUGUGAAAGCCCCGGGCUCAACCUGGGAACGGCAUCCGGAACUGUCAAGGUAGAGGGGAGGAGAGGAAGGUAGAAUUCCCGGUGUAGCGGUGAAAUGCGUAGAGGUCGGGAGGAAUACCAGUGGCGAAGGCGGCCUUCUGGACUGACACUGACACUGAGGUGCGAAAGCGUGGGUAGCAAACAGGAUUAGAUACCCUUGUAGUC